rnacentral:rRNA from 1 species
AGUCGAGGGGUAACGGGGUGCUUGCACCGCCGACGACCGGCGCACGGGUGCGUAACGCGUAUACAAUCUACCUUGUAGAGGGGAAUAGCCCAGAGAAAUUUGGAUUAAUGCCCCAUAGUAUUAUUAGAUAGCAUUAUUUAAUAAUUAAACAUUUAUGGCUACAAGAUGAGUAUGCGUUCUAUUAGUUAGUAGGUAAGGUAACGGCUUACCUAGACUUCGAUAGAUAGGGGUCCUGAGAGGGAGAUCCCCCACACUGGUACUGAGACACGGACCAGACUCCUACGGGAGGCAGCAGUGAGGAAUAUUGGACAAUGGGCGAGAGCCUGAUCCAGCCAUGCCGCGUGCAGGAAGACGGCCCUAUGGGUUGUAAACUGCUUUUAUAGAGGAAGAAACCUCCCGACGUGUCGGGACUUGACGGUACUCUACGAAUAAGGAUCGGCUAACUCCGUGCCAGCAGCCGCGGUAAUACGGAGGAUCCAAGCGUUAUCCGGAAUCAUUGGGUUUAAAGGGUCCGUAGGCGGGACAAUCAGUCAGCGGUGAAAGUCUGUGGCUCAACCAUAGAAUUGCCAUUGAUACUGUUGUUCUUGAAUACUUAUGAAGUGGUUGGAAUAUGUAGUGUAGCGGUGAAAUGCAUAGAUAUUACAUAGAACACCGAUUGCGAAGGCAGAUCACUAAUAAGUCAUUGACGCUGAUGGACGAAAGCGUAGGU